rnacentral:rRNA from 1 species
UACAGAGGUCCCAAGCGUUGUUCGGAUUCAUUGGGCGUAAAGGGUGUGUAGGCGGCGCCGUAAGUCAGGUGUGAAAUCUCGGGGCUUAACUCCGAAACUGCAUUCGAUACUGCCGUGCUUGAGGACUGGAGAGGAGACUGGAAUUUACGGUGUAGCGGUGAAAUGCGUAGAUAUCGUAAGGAAGACCAGUGGCGAAGGCGGGUCUCUGGACAGUUCCUGACGCUGAGGCACGAAGGUCAGGGGAGCAAACGGG